rnacentral:rRNA from 1 species
AGUGAACGCUGGCGGCAGGCUUAACACAUGCAAGUCGAACGGUAGCACAGCAAGAGCUUGUUCCUACUGGCGACGAGGGGAGGACGGCUGCGGAACAUACCCGAAUGUACUUUAUAGCGCGGGAAAACGUAGGCUAACUCACCCUAUUAUCGCAUACGGCCAACGGGUGAACGCACAGCAUCGUCGGACCUCGCGCCUUUGAAUCAGCCGAUGUCGGAUUAGCUAGUUGGCGGGGUAAAGGCCCACCAAGGCGACGAUCCGUAGCUGGUCUGAGAGGAUGAUCAGCCACACUGGAACUGAGACACGGUCCAGACUCCUACGGGAGGCAGCAGUGGGGAAUAUUGGACAAUGGGCGCAAGCCUGAUCCAGCCAUGCCGCGUGGGCGAAGAAGGCCUUCGGGUUGUAAAGCGCUUUUGUUAGGAAAGAAAAGCAGCAGGUUAAUACCGCGCUGUUCUGACGGUACCCAAAGAAUAAGCACCGGCUAACUUCGUG